AUUGAACGCUGGCGGCAGGCCUAACACAUGCAAGUCGAACGAGUGGCGGACGGGUGAGUAAUGUCUGGGAAACUGCCCGAUGGAGGGGGAUAACUACUGGAAACGGUCGCUAAUACCGCAUACCAUCAGAUGUGCCCAGAUGGGCGUAGUUAGUCGGUGGGGUAACGGCGCACCAAGGCGACGAUCCCUAGCGGGUCUGCGAGGAUGACCAGCAACACUGUAACUGAGACACGGUCCAGAGUCCUACGGGAGUAAGCAGUGGGGAAUAGUGCACAAGGGGCGCAAGCCUGAUGCAGCCAUGCCGCGUGUAUGAAGAAGGCCUUCGGGUUGUAAAGUACUUUCAGCGAGGAGGCGUUACUCGCAGAAGAAGCACCGGCUAACUCCGUGCCAGCAGCCGCGGUAAUAC
rnacentral:rRNA from 1 species